UUACGGCCAUAUCACGUAGUAAUACCGGUUCCCAUACGAUCAACAAAUUUAAGCAAUGUCGAGCCUGGCCAGUACGUAGAUGGGUAACCGCUUGGGAAUAUCAGGUGCCGUAAG